GACGAACGCUGGCGGCGUGCCUAAUACAUGCAAGUAGAACGCUGAAGGAGGAGCUUGCUUCUCUGGAUGAGUUGCGAACGGGUGAGUAACGCGUAGGUAACCUGCCUGGUAGCGGGGGAUAACUAUUGGAAACGAUAGCUAAUACCGCAUAAUAGUAGAUGUUGCAUGACAUUUGCUUAAAAGGUGCAAUUGCAUCACUACCAGAUGGACCUGCGUUGUAUUAGCUAGUUGGUGAGGUAACGGCUCACCAAGGCAACGAUGCAUAGCCGACCUGAGAGGGUGAUCGGCCACACUGGGACUGAGACACGGCCCAGACUCCUACGGGAGGCAGCAGUAGGGAAUCUUCGGCAAUGGGCGGAAGUCUGACCGAGCAACGCCGCGUGAGUGAAGAAGGUUUUCGGAUCGUAAAGCUCUGUUGUAAGAGAAGAACGAGUGUGAGAGUGGAAAGUUCACACUGUGACGGUAUCUUACCAGAAAGGGACGGCUAACUACGUG
rnacentral:rRNA from 1 species